CCUACGGGAGGCAGCAGUGGGGAAUAUUGCACAAUGGGGGAAACCCUGAUGCAGCGACACCGCGUGGGUGAAGAAGCAUUUCGGUAUGUAAAGCUCUAUCAGCAGGGAAGAAAAAGACCGUUACCGAAUGAGAAGCCCCGGCCAACUACCGGCCAGCCGCCGGGGUAAUACGUAGGGGGCAAGCGUUAUCCGGAUUUACUGGGUGGAAAGGGUGCGGAGACGGGAGUACAAGGCUGGAGGGAAAGGCCGGGGCUUAACCCCGGAACUGCAUUGGAAACUGUUCAACUAGAGUGCAGGAGAGGUAAGUGGAAUUCCUAGUGUAGCGGUGAAAUGCGUAGAUAUUAGGAGGAACACCAGUGGCGAAGGCGGCUUACUGGACUGUAACUGACGUUGAGGCUCGAAAGCGUGGGGAGCAAACAGGAUUAGAUACCCCAGUAGUC
rnacentral:rRNA from 1 species